rnacentral:rRNA from 1 species
UACGUAGGGGGCAAGCGUUGUUCGGAUUCAUUGGGCGUAAAGGGUGCGUAGGCGGCGCGGUAAGUCGGAUGUGAAAUCUCGGAGCUUAACUUCGAAACUGCAUUCGAUACUGCCGUGCUUGAGGACUGGAGAGGAGACUGGAAUUUACGGUGUAGCGGUGAAAUGCGUAGAUAUCGUAAGGAAGACCAGUGGCGAAGGCGGGUCUCUGGACAGUUCCUGACGCUGAGGCACGAAGGUCAGGGGAGCAAACGGG